CCCACANCGGGAAGCCAGGCGGCGACGCCGAGCGGAACCCGAAAAGGCGCCUCAGUUCGGAUUGGAGUCUGCAACCCGACUCCAUGAAGCUGGAUUCGCUAGUAAUCGCGCAUCAGCCACGGCGCGGUGAAUACGUUCCCGGGCCUUGUACACACCGCCCGUCAAGCCAUGGGAGCCGGGAGUGCCUGAAGUGCGCGGCCGCGAGGAGCGCCCUAGGGCAAGACUGGUGACUGGGGCUAAGUCGUAACAAGGUACC
rnacentral:rRNA from 1 species